UGUCAUAUUCGAACCUUUCAUUGUAUCAUUUUACUUACUUUAUUGCCAUGGUUACUGGGUCAGGGUUAUCUCUACUCCGAAAUGGCCAUGGGAGGAUCAUGUUGUGCCUAAAAGAAAAAAGACAGAUGACACUUAUGUACAGAAAUAAGAAACGGAAGCACCCAGUAUGUAUCUCAGCCAAGCAGUGACAGAAAAAACAGCCAGCUCCUCUGUGAUGUUGUAAAGAUCCCAAGGUACAACCAAGACACCUGGUAAUGGGAUAUUAAAG
rnacentral:lncRNA from 1 species